GACGAACGCUGGCGGCGUGCCUAAUACAUGCAAGUAGAACGCUGAAGGAGGAGCUUGCUUCUCUGGAUGAGUUGCGAACGGGUGAGUAACGCGUAGGUAACCUGCCUGGUAGCGGGGGAUAACUAUUGGAAACGAUAGCUAAUACCGCAUAAGAGUAGAUGUUGCAUGACAUUUGCUUAAAAGGUGCAAUUGCAUCACUACCAGAUGGACCUGCGUUGUAUUAGCUAGUUGGUGGGGUAACGGCUCACCAAGGCGACGAUACAUAGCCGACCUGAGAGGGGGAUCGGCCACACUGGGACUGAGACACGGCCCAGACUCCUACGGGAGGCAGCAGUAGGGAAUCUUCGGCAAUGGACGGAAGUCUGACCGAGCAACGCCGCGUGAGUGAAGAAGGUUUUCGGAUCGUAAAGCUCUGUUGUAAGAGAAGAACGAGUGUGAGAGUGGAAAGUUCACACUGACGGUAACUUACCAGAAAGGGACGGCUAACUACGU
rnacentral:rRNA from 1 species